GUUUUGGAGUGGCACAGCUGAGGAGCAGGGUGCUGGUGGAAGAUGUUGUUUUUGGCAGGAAUGGUGAUACGAUCAAGCACAACAGCUGGACCUGUAAUUACGUGACUGUCCAAGUAAGAUGCCUCCGUUUAGAUCUCAACAGACCUGUG
rnacentral:lncRNA from 1 species